AAACUAUAGGAUUUCUGAGCUUGCUGCAAUUGGUGCACAGAGAAAAACAUGCUCGACCAAUGCGAAGCGCUGUUGUCUUCAACAGCAGCUAUGCAAUUGGAAGAAUGCAGCCUUAUGGCUCAUCUCACGCAAACAAAACAACCUUCGAAGAA